rnacentral:rRNA from 1 species
UGCGUAGGUGGCAAGCGUUGUCCGGAUUUACUGGGCGUAAAGAGCGCGCAGGCGGUCGUUCAAGUCGCGUGUGAAAGCCCCCGGCUCAACUGGGGAGGGUCACGCGAUACUGAUCGACUCGAAGGCAGGAGAGGGAAGUGGAAUUCCCGGUGUAGUGGUGAAAUGCGUAGAUAUCGGGAGGAACACCAGUGGCGAAGGCGACUUCCUGGCCUGUUCUUGACGCUGAGGCGCGAAAGCUAGGGGAGCGAACUGG